rnacentral:rRNA from 1 species
UACGUAGGGGGCAAGCGUUGUCCGGAAUCAUUGGGCGUAAAGAGCGCGUAGGCGGUCCGAUAAGUCGGCUGUGAAAGUCAGGGGCUCAACCCUUGAAAGCCGGCCGAUACUGUCGGACUAGAGUUCGGAAGAGGCGAGUGGAAUUCCCAGUGUAGCGGUGAAAUGCGCAGAUAUCGGGAGGAACACCAAUGGCGAAGGCAGCUCGCUGGGACGUGACUGACGCUGAGGCGCGAAAGCGUGGGGAGCAAACAGG